rnacentral:rRNA from 1 species
AGAGUUUGAUCAUGGCUCAGAUUGAACGCUGGCGGAAUGCUUUACACAUGCAAGUCGAACGGCAGCAUAGGUGCUUGCACCUGAUGGUGAGUGGCGAACGGGUGAGUAAUACAUCGGAACGUGCCCAGUCGUGGGGGAUAACGUAGCGAAAGUUACGCUAAUACCGCAUACGAUCUACGGAUGAAAGCGGGGGACCGUAAGGCCUCGCGCGAUUGGAGCGGCCGAUGUUAGAUUAGGUAGUUGGUGGGGUAAAGGCUCACCAAGCCGACGAUCUAUAGCUGGUCUGAGAGGAUGAUCAGCCACACUGGGACUGAGACACGGCCCAGACUCCUACGGGAGGCAGCAGUGGGGAAUUUUGGACAAUGGGCGCAAGCCUGAUCCAGCCAUUCCGCGUGCAGGACGAAGGCCUUCGGGUUGUAAACUGCUUUUGUACAGAACGAAAAGCUCUGAGUUAAUACCUCGGGGUCAUGACGGUACUGUAAGAAUAAGCACCGGCUAACUACGUGCCAGCAGCCGCGGUAAU